rnacentral:ncRNA from 1 species
GUGAGCCGUGUGAUGGGAAACCUUCCCACAUGGUUCGGAGAGCACUGAAGACGAAUGAGAGAUUCAUCACCACGGCUGCCACUUGAU